rnacentral:rRNA from 1 species
UACGUAGGAGGCGAGCGUUGUCCGGAGUUACUGGGCGUAAAGGGUGCGCAGGCGGCGGUUCGCGUGGAUAGGUGAAAUCUCCUGGCUUACCUGGGAGGGUGGUAUCCAGACGGGAUCGCUUGAGGGUCGCAGAGGGGCGUGGAAUUCCGGGUGGAGCGGUGAAAUGCGUAGAGAUCCGGAGGAACACCGACGGCGUAGGCAGCGCCCUGGACGACACCUGACGCUGAGGCACGAAAGCUAGGGGAGCAAACAGG